rnacentral:rRNA from 1 species
GUUGAACGCUGGCGGCAGGCCUAACACAUGCAAGUCGAGCGGAUGAGUGGAGCUUGCUCCAUGAUUCAGCGGCGGACGGGUGAGUAAUGCCUAGGGAUCUGCCUGGUAGUGGGGGACAACGUUUCGAAAGGAACGCUAAUACCGCAUACGUCCUACGGGAGAAAGCGGGGGAUCUUCGGACCUCACGCUAUCAGACGAGCCUAGGUCGGAUUAGCUAGUUGGUGAGGUAAAGGCUCACCAAGGCGACGGUCCGUAACUGGUCUGAGAGGAUGAUCAGUCACACUGGAACUGAGACACGGUCCAG